AUUGAACGCUGGCGGAAUGCUUUACACAUGCGAGUCGAGCGGCAGCACGGGGGCAACCCUGGUGGCGAGCGGCGAACGGGUGAGUAAUACAUCGGAACAUGCCCAGUCGUGGGGGAUAACACUUCGAAAGAAGUGCUAAUACCGCAUACGUCCUGAGGGAGAAAGCGGGGGAUCUUCGGACCUCGCGCGAUUGGAGUGGCCGAUGUCAGAUUAGCUAGUUGGGGGGGUAAAGGCCUACCAAGGCAACGAUCUGUAGCUGGUCUGAGAGGAUGAUCGGCCACACUGGGACUGAGACACGGCCCAGACUCCUACGGGAGGCAGCAGUGGGGAAUUUUGGACAAUGGGGGCAACCCUGAUCCAGCCAUUCCGCGUGAGUGAAGAAGGCCUUCGGGUUGUAAAGCUCUUUCGGCAGGAACGAAACGGCGAGCUCUAACAUAGCUUGCUAAUGACGGUACCUGAAGAAGAAGCACCGGCUAACUACGUGCCAGCAGCCGCCGUAAAAC
rnacentral:rRNA from 1 species